AUGGUGAGCUGGAAUAACAGAUCAAUAGUUAUCAGUACAGUGAGCUGGAAUAACAGGCCAAUAGUUAUCAGUACAGUGAGCUGGAAUAACAGCCCAGUAGUUAUCAGUAUGGUGAGCUGGAAUAACAGCCCAGUAGUUAUCAGUACAGUGAGCUGGAAUAACAGGCCAAUAGUUAUCAGUACAGUGAGCUGGAAUAACAGGCCAGUAGUUAUCAGUACAGUGAGCUGGAAUAACAGGCCAGUAGUUAUCAGUACAGUGAGCUGGAAUAACAGGCCAGUAGUUAUCAGUACAGUGAGCUGGAAUAACAGGCCAGUAGUUAUCAGUACAGUGAGCUGGAAUAAGAGGCCAAUAGUUAUCAGUAUGGUGAGCUGGAAUAACAGGGCAAUAGUUAUCAGUAUGGUGAGCUGGAAUAACAGCCCAGUAGUUAUCAGUAUGGUGAGCUGGAAUAACAGGCCAAUAGUUAUCAGUAUGGUGAGCUGGAAUAACAGGCCAAUAGUUAUCAGUAUGGUGAGCUGGAAUAACAGGCCAGUAGUUAUCACUAGUAUGGUGAGCUGGAAUAACAGAUCAAUAGUUAUCAGUAUGGUGAGCUGGAAUAACAGGCCAGUAGUUAUCAGUAUGGUGAGCUGGAAUAACAGCCCAGUAGUUAUCAGUAUGGUGAGCUGGAAUAACAGGCCAGUAGUUAUCAGUAUGGUGAGCUGGAAUAACAGGCCAGUAGUUAUCAGUACAGUGAACUGGAAUAACAGGCCAAUAGUUAUCAGUACAGUGAGCUGGAAUAACAGGCCAGUAGUUAUCAGUACAGUGAGCUGGAAUAACAGGCCAAUAGUUAUCAGUUCGGUGAGCUGGAAUAACAGGCCAGUAGUUAUCAGUAUGGUGAGCUGGAAUAACAGAUCAAUAGUUAUCAGUACAGUGAGCUGGAAUAACAGGCCAAUAGUUAUCAGUUCGGUGAGCUGGAAUAACAGGCCAGUAGUUAUCAGUACAGUGAGCUGGAAUAACAGGCCAAUAGUUAUCAGUACAGUGAGCUGGAAUAACAGGCCAGUAGUUAUCAGUUCGGUGAGCUGGAAUAACAGGCCAGUAGUUAUCAGUACAGUGAGCUGGAAUAACAGGCCAGUAGUUAUCAGUACAGUGAGCUGGAAUAACAGGCCAGUAGUUAUCACUAGUAUGGUGAGCUGGAAUAACAGCCCAGUAGUUAUCAGUAUGGUGAGCUGGAAUAACAGGCCAGUAGUUAUCACUAGUAUGGUGAGCUGGAAUAACAGCCCAGUAGUUAUCAGUAUGGUGAGCUGGAAUAACAGGCCAAUAGUUAUCAGUUCGGUGAGCUGGAAUAACAGGCCAAUAGUUAUCAGUUCGGUGAGCUGGAAUAACAGGCCAGUAGUUAUCAGUAUGGUGAGCUGGAAUAACAGGCCAAUAGUUAUCACUAGUAUGGUGAGCUGGAAUAAGAGGCCAGUAGUUAUCAGUACAGUGAGCUGGAAUAACAGGCCAGUAGUUAUCAGUUCGGUGAGCUGGAAUAACAGGCCAGUAGUUAUCAGUACAGUGAGCUGGAAUAACAGGCCAGUAGUUAUCAGUUCGGUGAGCUGGAAUAACAGGCCAGUAGUUAUCAGUACAGUGAGCUGGAAUAACAGGCCAGUAGUUAUCAGUUCGGUGAGCUGGAAUAACAGGCCAGUAGUUAUCAGUAUGGUGAGCUGGAAUAACAGGCCAGUAGUUAUCAGUAUGGUGAGCUGGAAUAACAGGCCAAUAGUUAUCACUAGUAUGGUGAGCUGGAAUAAGAGGCCAGUAGUUAUCAGUAUGGUGAGCUGGAAUAACAGGCCAGUAGUUAUCAGUAUGGUGAGCUGGAAUAACAGGCCAGUAGUUAUCAGUAUGGUGAGCUGGAAUAACAGGCCAGUAGUUAUCAGUACGGUGAGCUGGAAUAACAGGCCAGUAGUUAUCAGUACAGUGAGCUGGAAUAACAGGCCAGUAGUUAUCAGUACGGUGAGCUGGAAUAACAGGCCAGUAGUUAUCAGUACAGUGAGCUGGAAUAACAGGCCAGUAGUUAUCAGUAUGGUGAGCUGGAAUAACAGGCCAAUAGUUAUCAGUACAGUGAGCUGGAAUAACAGGCCAGUAGUUAUCAGUAUGGUGAGCUGGAAUAACAGGCCAGUAGUUAUCAGUAUGGUGAGCUGGAAUAACAGAUCAAUAGUUAUCAGUAUGGUGAGCUGGAAUAACAGGCCAGUAGUUAUCAGUACGGUGAGCUGGAAUAACAGGCCAAUAGUUAUCAGUAUGGUGAGCUGGAAUAACAGCCCAGUAGUUAUCAGUAUGGUGAGCUGGAAUAACAGGGCAGUAGUUAUCAGUAUGGUGAGCUGGAAUAACAGGCCAGUAGUUAUCAGUAUGGUGAGCUGGAAUAACAGGCCAGUAGUUAUCACUAGUAUGGUGAGCUGGAAUAACAGAUCAAUAGUUAUCAGUAUGGUGAGCUGGAAUAACAGGCCAGUAGUUAUCAGUACAGUGAGCUGGAAUAACAGGCCAGUAGUUAUCAGUACAGUGAGCUGGAAUAACAGGCCAGUAGUUAUCACUAGUAUGGUGAGCUGGAAUAACAGGGCAGUAGUUAUCAGUAUGGUGAGCUGGAAUAACAGGCCAGUAGUUAUCAGUACGGUGAGCUGGAAUAACAGGCCAGUAGUUAUCAGUACAGUGAGCUGGAAUAACAGGCCAGUAGUUAUCACUAGUAUGGUGAGCUGGAAUAACAGGGCAGUAGUUAUCAGUAUGGUGAGCUGGAAUAACAGGCCAGUAGUUAUCAGUAUGGUGAGCUGGAAUAACAGAUCAAUAGUUAUCAGUAUGGUGAGCUGGAAUAACAGAUCAAUAGUUAUCAGUAUGGUGAGCUGGAAUAACAGGCCAGUAGUUAUCAGUACGGUGAGCUGGAAUAACAGAUCAAUAGUUAUCAGUAUGGUGAGCUGGAAUAACAGGCCAAUAGUUAUCAGUACAGUGAGCUGGAAUAACAGGCCAGUAGUUAUCAGUAUGUUGAGCUGGAAUAACAGGGCAAAAACAAAGGCCCUUCACACAGAUACGUGA
rnacentral:lncRNA from 8 species